rnacentral:rRNA from 1 species
ACAACUUCAGCAACGGAUUCUCUUGGCUCUCGCAUCGAUGAAGAACGCAGCGAAUGCGAUAAGUAAUGUGAAUUGCAGAAUUCAGUGAAUCAUCGAAUCUUUGAACGCACCUUGCGCUCCUUGGUAUUCUGAGGAGCACACCUGUUUGAGUGUCGUGAA